rnacentral:rRNA from 1 species
CAAUAGCGUAUAUUUAAGUUGUUGCAGUUAAAAAGCUCGUAGUUGGAUUUCGGAUGGGAUUUGCCGGUCCGUCGUUACGAUGUGCACUGGCCAGUCCUAUCUUGUUGUCGGGGACUAGCUCCUUGGAUUCACUUCCUGGGACUAGGAGCUGACGAGGUUACUUUGAGUAAAUUAGAGUGUUCAAAGCAAGCCUACGCUCUGAAUACAUUAGCAUGGAAUAACACGAUAGGACUCUGGCUUAUCUUGUUGGUCUGUGAGACCAGAGUAAUGAUUAAGAGGGACAGUCGGGGACAUUCGUAUUUCAUUGUCAGAGGUGAAAUUCUUGGAUUUAUGAAAGACGAACUUCUGCGAAAGCAUUUGUCAAGGAUAUUUUCAUUAA